rnacentral:rRNA from 1 species
CGCUCGCAAGACAGCUGAAGACUUUUCUAAAUGAUGUAAGUGGUGGUGCAUGGUCGUUCUUAGUUCGUGGAGUGAUUUGUCUGGUCUAUUCCGAUAACGAGCGAGACCCCUACGUCCCUAAUAGGGGCGCUAGCCCGGCUUGCUGCUUAACGGCGGCUUGCUUGCUGGUGCCUCAAUUGCUUCUUAGGCGUAUCAGAGCCGAUAAGGUUCUUGAAAUGGGUUAAUAACAGGUCAGUCAUGCCCUUAGAUGUUCUGGGCCGCACGCGCGUUACAAUGGUAUACAUAGAACGUGCUCAACAGGGCGUAUCCACGGCCUACAGGUCGUGGUAACCCUUAGUCUCUUCCUUGACUGGGACAGACUAUUGCAAUUAUUGGUCUCCAACGAGGAAUUUUUAGUAGUCGCAGGUCAUUAACCUGCGACGAAUGAGUCCCUGCCCUUAGUAACGAGGCGAACUGCUACCUUGACCCCGAUAGUCCGUGGCUGGACCGUUGGAUAUAGGCUGUGGGUCGUUUCGUGAGAGGGGUAUAAAGGGCCUUGGGGGAUAGGGCGGCAACCUUAUUCUCUGGGCCCUAGUCCUGUUGAGCUUUGCUGGAGCCUCGUCAUAUGCCAAUGAUGGGAGGAAGGCUGUAAACGCUCGGCACGCCUGAGAGUACAGGCACAUAGCUUCGACGAGGCAUCUAGCCAAUGCUCCCGUCGGUCCAAAGCUUAGGGCAACACUGGUAAACUGCAGGGAAUCCCUGUUCCAAAGCUUCUACGUACCAAGCAGCGCUUGAAAAGGUUAGCUGUGGCCUGGGUAACGCCCAUGGGUAAAGUGAUAACCGUAGCAAGUUGGGGAGGAUAUGCAUCAUAGCCCUUCGGCUCGUUUCGAUGAGGCAAAGUUCACAGCUGAACACCAGUGGGUGGGUCGUUUAGACGCUCGCUUAAGUCAUAGUCAUAAAGCAUAAAGCAUAAGGCACGAAGAAAGGUACCUUUGAUCUUAAACGGUCUGGGUCGUUUCGUCCCCUCGAG